rnacentral:rRNA from 1 species
UGCAGUCGAACGGUAACAGGUCUUCGGAUGCUGACGAGUGGCGAACCGUUGAGUAAUAUAUCGGAACGUGCCCAGUCGUGGGGGAUAACGUAGCGAAAGUUACGCUAAUACCGCAUACGAUCUACGGAUGAAAGCGGGGGAUCGCAAGACCUCGCGCGAUUGGAGCGGCCGAUAUCAGAUUAGGUAGUUGGUGGGGUAAAGGCUCACCAAGCCAACGAUCUGUAGCUGGUCUGAGAGGACGACCAGCCACACUGGAACUGAGACACGGUCCAGACUCCUACGGGAGGCAGCAGUGGGGAAUUUUGGACAAUGGACGCAAGUCUGAUCCAGCCAUUCCGCGUGCAGGAUGAAGGCCCUCGGGUUGUAAACUGCUUUUGUACGGAACGAAAAGGUUUCCAUUAAUACUGGGAGCUCAUGACGGUACCGUAAGAAUAAGCACCGGCUAACUACGUGCCAGCAGCCGCGGUAAUACGUAGGGUGCAAGCGUUAAUCGGAAUUACUGGGCGUAAAGCGUGCGCAGGCGGUUAUAUAAGACAGAUGUGAAAUCCCCGGGCUCAACCUGGGAACUGCAUUUGUGACUGUAUAGCUAGAGUACGGUAGAGGGGGAUGGAAUUCCGCGUGUAGCAGUGAAAUGCGUAGAUAUCGGAAGGAACAUCAGUGGCGAAAGCGGCUUCCUGGUCCAGCACCGACGUUCAGGCACGAAAGCGUGGGGAGCAAACAGGAUUAGAUACCCUGGUAGUCCACGCCAUAAACGAUGAGGACUAGACGUUGGAGGGGUUAGCCUUUCAGUGUCGCAGCUAACGCGAUAAGUCCUCCGC